UAGCGCGGGCUCUUGCCAGCCGGGGAGCGGCGGCCGCGCGGAGGGAGGGAGCGGGCUGCGCUGCGGCGCGAAGGAGUGCGGCUCGCCGGCGGCGGCUGCGGUGGUCCCGCGCCCGCUCUGCUAGGGCGGAGCCUCCGGGCCAGGGGCGGAGCCCGGCGCUCGGGCCUCGGGGGCAGGAUGGCGGCCGGCGGGGCUGCGGGGCAGCCGGGGGACAUCGUCCAGGUGACGGUGAAGGAGGAGGGCCAUGCUUGGGACCCAGGGCCGCGCAAGCCGCGGGGCGGGGCGGGUCCCGCCGAGCUCUCUCGCCGCCGCUUCCGGCAGUUCUGCUAUUGGGAGACCCCCGGGCCCCGGGAGGCGCUGCGCCAGCUCCGCGAGCUCUGCCGCCAGUGGCUGCGGCCCGAGACCCGCAGCAAGGAGCAGAUCGUGGAGCUGCUGGUGCUGGAGCAGUUCCUGGCCGUCCUGCCCGGGGAGCUGCAGGCCUGGGUGCGCCAACGGCAUCCCCAGAGCGGGGACGAGGCGGUGACGGUGCUGGAGGACUUGGAGCGCGAGCUGGAUGAGCCGGGAGAGCAGAUGGUGAAACAAGCUUCACUGGACUUUCUUGUCAAGAAAAAAACACACUUUCUUGGAACAUAGCAGCAGUAAUCAAAGAAGUGGUAACAAGGGAAGUCGUCUUAAAGAAGCAAGAGCCAGAAGAGUUCGCAUGUGUUUUACUCAGAAAUACAAUUCUUCAUAUAUUGAGUUUGGUUUUGUAGCUAAAGUUGAUGGUGAAGUGCCAAAGCCACAGUGUGUUAUUUGUGGAGAUCUAUUAGCUAGUGACACAAUGAAACCACCAAAACUUAAGUGGCAUUUAUGUUCAAAACAUAAAGAAAUAAGUUCACAAGCAAAAGAAUGACACCAUUUGAGAGAAAGAGUAGUGAGUUAAAAAGUCAACCAAAGCAAAUGUUCAGUGUUUCCCCCAUAAACACCAGUGCCCUGAGGGCUUCGUGUGGAGUAGCACACCCAGGCGCCAAGUCCAAAAGGCCAUGCACAACUGCUGAGACACUUGGGAAAGACUACGUCAAAGAAGUUUGCUUGGAAAUGUUGGGUGAAUCUGCAGCAAAGAGGGUAGCACAAGUGCCACUUUCCAGUGACACCAAAGCUCGCUGCAUUCAAGAGCUGGCUCAUCACAUGGGAGACCAACUCAGAGCAGAUAAAGCUGCCAAAGUACUUCUCACUGCGACUGGAUGAGUGCGGAGAUGCUGCUAGCGCGAUCGUUCCUUUAGUCCGUGUGAGCUUUGAACAUGGUGAUGACAUAAAGGAAGAAUUCCUUUUUCAGUCUCUUUGCCUACAAACACAACUAGUUCAGAUCUGUCUGAAGCCAUGAAGAACUACACUGUUGACAGAUGUGGCUUGGAAUUUAAGCUUUGUGUAGGAGUGUGUUCUGCUGGUACAGCUUUAAUGACAGGAAAAUGUUCCAAAGUGGUCACCCAGAUUAAGGAACUUGCUCUGGAACAUAAAAUAACGCAUUGCUUCAUCCAGCAUGACAGUCUUGCUAUGAAAAAAAUAUCAGCUGAGCUAUACAGGGUGCUUACUGACAUUGUAAAAAUUGUAAAUUAUAUAAAAUCUGAUGCAUUCAUUCAAGAUUGUUCACUUAUUAUGUGAUAAUAUGGAAGCUGAUCAUAAGCAGUUCUUACUACAUUCUGAGAUAUGGUGGUUGUCUUGGAAAACUUCUGUCAAGAGUGUUUGGAAUACGAGAUGAUCUCUUAGCGUUUUUGCAAGGCAAGAAACCUGCUUCGUUUCAACUUGUUAGAGAUGUGAACUGGACACCCAGACUUGCUUAUUUGUCUGAUAUCUGUAGUAUUUUUAAUGACUUUAAUGCUUCUUUGCAAGGAGAAAAUGCAACAUGCUUUUCAGUGACAGAUAAGAUUGAAGGGCAGAAACAAAAGACUUCGCUAUCACAGAUUGCUUCUGAGGUACUUGGGACACAGACACGAGCAUCCCAAGGAGGUCCAACAGCCUCCGUUGUUACUUGGAGGAGAGUCAGGGAACGGUGCGCGCGCCUGUUCUGUGGUCCGGUCAGGGCAACUGCAAGCAGCACGAGGCAGCGUCUUUGGGACCCUGCCUGUUAAACACAGAAAAGAUCACGUCCUGUCACUGGAGUCACUAAGGUCGGGGGUACAGCAAGUGACUAAGAUAAACUGGACAUCACAAAAGCUCAAAAGCAAGGGCAAAAGUUUAAAACGCACCUGCAAACCCACUAGGAUCUUCUACAAUGCCUAGCCAAUCUUUGUAUUGUUGGAUAUUUGCCACUGAAAAAGGAACCUGGAUUUAAGGAGUCCCCUGUACUCCUGGCACCACCCUCAGGGGCACAGUGAGCUGUGAGCAGAGUAAAAUGUCCCACCCUGAGUAUGUCCUGUGGAGCUUAGCACUAUGCUGUCUGAGGAACACAAGGAGGCUGGGGAAUGCGGGCAUCUUUGGGGCCCUGCGACCUGGUGGAGUUUCUGAGUUACUGUGAGAGAAGAGGACUGACUUACUGGCCUCUGGAUUUUAAGGAGGAAGUCAAGGACACCACCCAGUAUGGUUCCUUUUGUCAAGCAGCUAGGAGGGGCCCAUAUUUCCCUGAGAGACAGGUGGCUAUUCUAGGAUAGGAUUAUCAAUGACAUCAAUUUCUUCUUCCUUGGAAGCCUUUUUACGUUCCAUAGUUCUGGGGUCUUUCCAGAGACAAAGAACCAUAAAAGCAUGAACAUGGAGACUUCAUACCACUUCCCUUGCCUUGUGUAGGAACAACCUAACUGAAAAGUGGUAUCAAAUUAGCCUGCCAUUCUGUACCUUUCUCUUGCUAUUUCUAAUUCAUAACAAACCCAAAGAGUAUUGUAUGGGCCUCACAGACCUAGAGAAAUCAUUCCUAAAAUUUAUUUGGAACCAGAAAAGACCUGGAAUAGCAAAGGCAUC